ensembl:lncRNA
CGCUAAUAGCAGUAGCUACCCGUCAGGGCUGCUGUGAGAACUCAGUGAAAGACUGAGGCAGAGCUCUUAGCACAGUGGCCUGGAGGAAAGGACCAGUAGGUGUCGGCAGUGGGAAGAAUAAGCUCCUAAAAAGACCCCCAGCAGAGAAGAGAAGAGGUGUGCUGUCUCCAGACAUGACUGAGCUCUCUGUCCUGCUCAGGAAGCAGAGAGGCCACUCCCCAAAGCGCCUGAUGAGCACUUUCAUUAACAGCCUGAACAAGAUAUGGAAGGCCUGCUUAGCAAAUUUGAGUCUGACAUGAAUUGGAAAGGAAAGAUAAAUGAAUCAAAUGAAAAUCAGAUCCAAAAAUCUUUCAGCAAGUAGCAAGUGGUGGCCAACCAGGUGGAACUGGACAGAAGAAUCCAAGCCCUGUGCUUGAUCCCCGGAAUCUGACUGCAUACGCCUGACAAGGCACACAGUUAACAACAGCAAAGCUUAAAAGAGAUGUGGAGUUUUAACCAAGAAUACCUAUAAUUCCACGGAGUCUGCCCAGUCAUGUGGCUCACACAGCCGAGCUGCCAGCACAGCAACCUGGACCUGCUGCAGGGCUCUUUCUCACAAAGGAUCCUGAUGGUUAGCAAGGAUGUAACGGCGUCUCCUACAGCCACACCUGGUCUACAGAUGACAUCCCACUGAGCUCCUCCCUGAUGCUGGUAUCUCCUCACUAGCACAUCCCUCAUUGCUUUGGUAAAUGCCUGUUGUCCAGGCCCUUCUGUGGAACAGAGCCAGUGGGAACAGGAAGUCUACAUUGCAGACACCUUUUGAAUCCAUCCACUUCUCCCCAUCCCUGCAGCCCCGCCAUGCUGCAGACCACCAACAUCUGUCUUCAAGAAGACUCAACAGCUUCUCGUGGUCUCCCUGCCUUCUUCACACCUCCUCCAACCCAUUCUGCAUCCAUAGACAGCAUGCUCUUUCUAAAUACACAUCUGAUCAUCUCACUCCAUGCAAAGAACCCUUUGAUGUUCCUCCAUUUCUCUGAGGAUGAAGACUGUACUUCUGAGGCUUGAAGGGAAGGAGCAGUAUUCAUAGUACUGAGCAAUCAGAAAGGCCUGGGCAUUCACCCAUCGGAAGAGAUGCAGGGAAACAACCACGAAGGCCAAGCAUUGAGGAUUAGCUGAAGAUCAGCCAGAGUGCAAGGCCAGGACCAGCUUGGACCCACUCUAUGUCCAGAGAUGACUUCCUUCUGGAAAGCAGAGGGGACGUGGCCUUCAGAAUACGGCAAUGGCAGGAGAACUGGAGUUGGGAUCUUUCCCAAAACAGGCACCAAAAUCAGAUCAGGAGUGGAGGUCAGGAACAAGUUCUCAAAGGGAAUAAGUCUUAAGCUAAUUUUUCAAGAAGCAAGGAGGAAAGGAGAGAAAGCAAUUCCAAUGAGUAGAAAGCAUGCAGCAAAUGCCCAAAGACAUGGAACAUGGUAACAUGUUCAAGGAAACUCAAGUAAUUUGGUGACCAGAGCAAAGGUGCACACAGGCAGACUAAGAGGCUGGCAAGAUCCAGGGCAUGAGGGUCAGGUAAAAGCCAGAACAGUUGACCUUGAUCCUAAAAGCCACAGGAAGCCAUUGAAGAUAUUAAGCAGAGGAAUGAAAUGACAGGCCUGUGAUUUAAAACAUCCUCUGGAG